rnacentral:rRNA from 1 species
UACGAAGGGGGCUAGCGUUGCUCGGAAUUACUGGGCGUAAAGCGCACGUAGGCGGCUUUCUAAGUCGGGGGUGAAAUCCUGGAGCUCAACUCCAGAACUGCCUUCGAUACUGGAAAGCUCGAGUCCGGGAGAGGUGAGUGGAACUGCGAGUGUAGAGGUGAAAUUCGCAGAUAUUCGCAAGAACACCAGUGGCGAAGGCGGCUCACUGGCCCGGUACUGACGCUGAGGUGCGAAAGCGUGGGGAGCAAACAGG